rnacentral:rRNA from 1 species
AGGAAUAUUGGUCAAUGGGCGAGAGCCUGAACCAGCCAAGUAGCGUGCAGGAUGACGGCCCUAUGGGUUGUAAACUGCUUUUAUAAGGGAAUAAAGUGAGAGUCGUGACUCUUUUUGCAUGUACCUUAUGAAUAAGGACCGGCUAAUUCCGUGCCAGCAGCCGCGGUAAUACGGAAGGUCCGGGCGUUAUCCGGAUUUAUUGGGUUUAAAGGGAGCGUAGGCCGGAGAUUAAGCGUGUUGUGAAAUGUAGACGCUCAACGUCUGCACUGCAGCGCGAACUGGUUUCCUUGAGUACGCACAAAGUGGGCGGAAUUCGUGGUGUAGCAGUGAAAUGCUUAGAUAUCACGAAGAACUCCGAUUGCGAAGGCAGCUCACUGGAGCGCAACUGACGCUGAAGCUCGAAAGUGCGGGUAUCGAACAGGAUUAGAUACCCUGGUAGUCCGCACGGUAAACGAUGGAUGCCCGCUGUUGGUCUGAACAGGUCAGCGGCCAAGCGAAAGCAUUAAGCAUCCCACCUGGGGAGUACGCCGGCAACGGUGAAACUCAAAGGAAUUGACGGGGGCCCGCACAAGCGGAGGAACAUGUGGUUUAAUUCGAUGAUACGCGAGGAACCUUACCCGGGCUUGAAUUGCAGAGGAAGGAUUUGGAGACAAUGACGCCCUUCGGGGUCUCUGUGAAGGUGCUGCAUGGUUGUCGUCAGCUCGUGCCGUGAGGUGUCGGCUUAAGUGCCAUAACGAGCGCAACCCCUCUCCUUAGUUGCCAUCAGGUCAAGCUGGGCACUCUGGGGACACUGCCACCGUAAGGUGUGAGGAAGGUGGGGAUGACGUCAAAUCAGCACGGCCCUUACGUCCGGGGCUACACACGUGUUACAAUGGCAGGUACAGAGAGACGGUCCCUUGCAAAAUGGAUCAAAUCCUUAAAGCCUGUCUCAGUUCGGACUGGGGUCUGCAACCCGACCCCACGAAGCUGGAUUCGCUAGUAAUCGCGCAUCAGCCAUGGCGCGGUGAAUACGUUCCCG